rnacentral:rRNA from 1 species
ACGGGGUGCAGCAGGCGCGAAAACUUCACACUGUGCGAAAGCACGAUGAGGGAAUCCCAAGUGCUGGCUCGUAAGAGUCAGCUGUUUCUUUGUCUAAAAAACAAAGAGAGUAAGGGCUGGGUAAGACGGGUGCCAGCCGCCGCGGUAAUACCUGCAGCUCAAGUGGUGGCCGCUAUUAUUGGGCCUAAAACGUCCGUAGCCGGUUUAGUAAAUGCCUGGGUAAAUCGUGUAGCUUAACUAUACGAAUUCCGGGUAGACUGCUGAACUUGAGAUCGGGAGAGGCUAGAGGUACUCCUGGGGUAGAGGUGAAAUUUUGUAAUCCUAGGGGGACCACCAGUGGCGAAGGCGUCUAGCUAGAACGAGUCUGACGGUGAGGGACGAAGCCCUGGGGCGCAAACCGGAUUAGAUACCCGGGUAGUCCAGGGUGUAAACGCUGCUCGCUUGAUGUUAGUUGGGCUCCGAGCCCAACUAGUGUCGGAGAGAAGUUGUUAAGCGAGCUGCCUGGGAAGUACGGUCGCAAGGCUGAAACUUAAAGGAAUUGGCGGGGGAGCACAGCAACGGGUGGAGCGUGCGGUUUAAUUGGAUUCAACGCCGGAAAACUCACCGGGGGCGACGGUUACAUGAAGGCCAGGCUGAUGACCUUGCCUGAUUUUCCGAGAAGCGGUGCAUGGCCGUCGUCAGUUCGUACCGUGAGGCGUUCUGUUAAGUCAGAUA